GACUUGGAUGUUGCGGUCAAAGUAUGCCUACCUCCUCAACACACAAUAUACACUGGUAUGUUGAUUGUUGAUGAUCAACCUAUUCUCGUUGUAUAUGGUAUACUUUGGAAUCUAAAAAAGUGUUAGUAUAUAAAGUACAGAGAGCAGGAACAUACAGGAAGUAUUGUAAGUGAUUGUAAUCGACCAAACUGGUUAAACUGGUUCGCCGAUGGGUGAGAGCAGGAAGAACAUACACCUGGAUAAUCUACUAUGAUUACUGGCAGUCAAGAGGUGAGGUUGGCAGAAAAACACUUGUCAUACCGAUGGGGUUUCUUUACAAGAUGUGGCAUCAAAUGGAAUGGACUACAAAUGUGGAUACUAUAGUGUGUUUUGAGAGGGGAUUGCUCUGGAUUACUUGAAAUCAUCCUUCCUUUUUUUGACUGAUGCUGAGAACGGUGACUAUGCAAAAGUUAUUGUAGAAGUCAAAGUCAUGGCAACACAACUGAGGGGGCAGUGAUACUGCAAAGCUGACUCUAUUGAACAAAAAGUGAAAGAUGAGGGUCACCACAGCUACUAUGGUACUGAAGGCAACGUCAGCUGACAAGAAACAAGACAACUGGAUUAUUUGUACAAGAGAUACAACUGAACAUCCCAUGCUAUUGCCUGGUCCAGAGAAGACGAGGAGUUGUCUUUUCCUGUCCAGUGUGAAACUGACCCCAUUGGUUCGGAUGGAGUUGUGGUGUAUGGUCAUUCAUCUUAUCCCAUACAUUCUGUUGAGAACCACCAGCCUAGAGAUCGGGCCUCAUCUGUGGAUAACCCAAGUGAUGUGAGAGGAGGAUUGGAGCAGCAGUGGAGCUCAGAGGAGACCCAUAACCAGGAGGAGAACCUUUUAUUUCGGCCCCUUGGACACUUGACGCCUGGUGGAGUGCCCGUCACAUGGUGGAGUCAGAAUGGUCCAUGGGUGGUGAUGGCACUCGCUGCUGUGAUACUCUUGCUGCUUUUCUCAAAUGUAAAUUAAAUUUAUAUGAAUUUAAUUUAACAGCCUAUGAAUGCUGAUGACCAGUAAUAAACUGAA